rnacentral:rRNA from 1 species
UGCAAGUCGAGCGGAUGAAGGGAGCUUGCUCCCUGAUUCAGCGGCGGACGGGUGAGUAAUGCCUAGGAAUCUGCCUGGUAGUGGGGGACAACGUCUCGAAAGGGACGCUAAUACCGCAUACGUCCUACGGGAGAAAGUGGGGGAUCUUCGGACCUCACGCUAUCAGAUGAGCCUAGGUCGGAUUAGCUAGUUGGUGAGGUAAUGGCUCACCAAGGCGACGAUCCGUAACUGGUCUGAGAGGAUGAUCAGUCACACUGGAACUGAGACACGGUCCAGACUCCUACGGGAGGCAGCAGUGGGGAAUAUUGGACAAUGGGCGAAAGCCUGAUCCAGCCAUGCCGCGUGUGUGAAGAAGGUCUUCGGAUUGUAAAGCACUUUAAGUUGGGAGGAAGGGCAGUAAAUUAAUACUUUGCUGUUUUGACGUUUCCGACAGAAUAAGCACCGGCUAACUCUGUGCC